rnacentral:rRNA from 2 species
AAACCCAGAUUUGACAUACAAAAAACAACUUU